rnacentral:rRNA from 1 species
UACGUAGGUGGCAAGCGUCGUCCGGAUUUACUGGGUGUAAAGGGCGCGUAGGCGGAGAGACAAGUCAGAUGUGAAAUCUAUGGGCUUAACCCAUAAACUGCAUUUGAAACUAUCUCCCUUGAGUGAUGGAGAGGCAAGCGGAAUUCCUAGUGUAGCGGUGAAAUGCGUAGAUAUUAGGAGGAACACCAGUGGCGAAGGCGGCUUGCUGGACAUUAACUGACGCUGAGGCGCGAAAGCGUGGGGAGCAAACAGG